ensembl:misc_RNA Metazoa_SRP Metazoan signal recognition particle RNA
GCUGGGUGUGGUGGUGGGCACCUGUAAUCCCAGCUACUUGGGAGGCUGAGGCGGGAGAAUUGCUUGAACCCGGGAGGCAGAGGUUGCAGUGAGCUAUGAUUGCACCACUGCACUCCAGCCUGGGCAACAGAGCGAGCUCCCAUCUCAA